ACUCCUACGGGAGGCAGCAGUGAGGAAUAUUGGUCAAUGGGCGCAAGCCUGAACCAGCCAUGCCGCGUGCAGGAAGACUGCCUUAUGGGUUGUAAACUGCUUUUAUAUGGGAAGAAACCCNCCUCUACGUGUGAGUAGGCUUGACGGUACCAUAAGAAUAAGCACCGGCUAACUCCGUGCCAGCAGCCGCGGUAAUACGGAGG
rnacentral:rRNA from 1 species